AAAGCCUUACUGAGGACUCCCAUACCUACGUUACUGUCUGCCUAAAUGAUUUCUUAUUAACUCCUGUAUUAUUGUUAGGGAUACAGAGAUUAUGGGGACCAGAAUCCUAUGUAUAUUUAUCCCUUUUUCUUCUGCACUUUUUGCCAGAGAGAACACAUGAACAGGAAAUAACUGCCAAAUGAGAAACGAAGUGUCACUUGAUCAAUAUCAAAAUCUACCAUCUUGGCAGCUCUGGCAUAUCGGGGAAUGCCAACUUCAGUUCAACUUCAGAAGACACAAUAGCCUUCCUGGAGGGAAUAUACAAGACCCCAGGAUACACAUUGGUCACUGGAUUGAGAUUCUUGAAUGUUAGAAGAUCCAGCAGUUUCACCGAAGAUCUCAAAAGGUGAUGCUGAUUCAUUAGCAAGAUGGCUUAAAUUGUUUCAUCUAUCAGCCCUUCUCACUUCUUAGUUUUUGUUCAAUCUGCUUCUUCUGUCUAGAAUGACUCACUCAGCUUUAUCCAUUCUCCAAACUUCAAUGCAAGCACCAUUUCUUCAAGAACCAUUCCAGACACCCUCUCCCUGCACCAUUGUGAGUAAUCUUAUCUUCCCCUGGAAUGAUGCUUGAUAUCCUAGUGGAUAUGAACUGUGUCUCAGCCAUCUCUACUGCUUUCAUUAUGGCAUAGUCUUCUGAACACGAUACAAACUCAUCCCAUGUUUUUGAAAUGGAUAUAUUUAAGACAAAAAUGUUAAUAGCACCUCCAGGGUGCUGGUUUCCAGGAUGAAUAACUGCCAGUGCAAUAACUAGCAGAGUCAAGUAUAAAUUGCCUACAAGAAAAAAAAACUGAGAAAUAAAGGUUAUAUCAUGCAGAAUAAAC